rnacentral:rRNA from 1 species
AGCCAGACUCCUACGGGAGGCAGCAGUGAGGAAUAUUGGUCAAAAAAAAAAAAAAAAAAAAAAAAAAGUCGCGUGAGGGAAGACUGCCCUAUGGGUUGUAAACCUCUUUUGUCAGGGAGCAACGCCGGCUACGUGUAGCCGGACUGAGAGUACCUGAAGAAAAAGCAUCGGCUAACUCCGUGCCAGCAGCCGCGGUAAUACGGAGGAUGCGAGCGUUAUCCGGAUUUAUUGGGUUUAAAGGGUGCGUAGGCGGAAUGCCAAGUCAGCGGUAAAAUCGCGGGGCUCAACCCCGCUCCGCCGUUGAAACUGGCGUUCUUGAGUGGGCGAGAAGUAUGCGGAAUGCGUGGUGUAGCGGUGAAAUGCAUAGAUAUCGCGCAGAACUCCGAUUGCGAAGGCAGCAUGCCGGCGCCACACUGACGCUGAGGCACGAAAGCGUGGGUAUCGAACAGGAUUAGAUACCCGUGUAUA